UGGGUGGCUGGUAGCAUGCAGGAAUAGAAAGGGAAAGAAGAAAGUGCCCAGUCCUGUCCAUCUCCUUUGGGCUAGGGUCUCCAGUCUCUUCCGCCUUCCAGGAUGCUCAACUGCGGUGCUCCCCUGAGCUUCCAGACCUUCGAGCUUGGACUGGCGCUGUAUCCUGAUCCCUCUUGACCUGCGGCUUCCGUCUGUUUAGGUGGAGCAGCACCUUGACCCUCUGGUUCUUUGGCCGCAAACAGCCCUGCAGGGCUCUCUCACCUUGCACCCUGAAAACCGAGUGGAUAAUCAGCACCAACAACAGAUGGGACAUCAUCUAAAAAUGAAUUUUACUUCUACACAGGAAAUCACUUCCCUACUUCAUAUGCUAAUAGGUUCCUGGCAGUGUGAUUUACUACUAUACAAUGAGACAUACUCCCAAAGCUGCUGUACAGAUUCAAUGCAAUUCCCAUUCAAC